rfam:Triticum aestivum genome assembly, contig: Triticum_aestivum_CS42_TGACv1_scaffold_591799_7BS
CCCAUCGGCGAGGAUGAGCUCGUCUCCUUUAUCCUAGCCGGUCUUGACAUGGAGUACAACCCUCUUGUUUCUGCUAUAGAUGCCCGUACUGAACCAGUUUCUCUUGAUGCCCUCUAUGGUCAGAUGGCCAAUUUCGAUC